AUUUUAACGGCAACAUGUAGUACAUAAGAUAUGAACAAUUCAAGAAGGUCUACAAACAAAGUAUGAUUAUGGACCAGAAACCAACAGGAACAAUUAUAUUCAGUUUGUUAUUGCUUUGUUUAAAUACCUGUAUGUGUUAUGUCUUCAACUGUCCAUAUUCCCACACAUUGGAAUGGAGAUUGCGAGCGCAAAUAAUUUGCAAUGGAUCAACUACGACAAGAUACCAAUGUUUAUUUAAUCAAUUAGGUCAAUAUACCACAAAGAAUCACAAUUUUACAGAACAAUGUACAGAAAAUGCGGAUUUUUUGAAACA